UGCCGACACCUUGAUCUUGGACUUUCAGCUUCUAGAACUAAAGGAGGAAGGUGGACUUUGAUGAUCUCUAAGACGGCUUCCCGCUGACUCUCUGAAAUCCCUGGACCUCUCUAAGCCACUGAUGAAGCCAUUGAAGUGGCCGUACUGGAAUGAAGUGGUGUCCUUAAAGGAAAUUGUGCCCAAGGUGAUAAUGCCGAGUAAGCAGAUGGGCACACAAGUCCCCCGGAGACCUCAGGGAAGAGGCCUGGGCUGAAGACAGGAAGCUGUGGCUCAGUGUGUGGAUGCGUUGAAAACCACAGGGCACAACAAGAUCCCCCAGGAAGGACCAGGGGCUCAGGGCUGAUCCCUGGGCGAUGCCACUGCAUAGAUACCAGGCAGAGGAAGUCCUGCCAAGGAGACUGAGACAGAGCAGCUGGUGAGACCGGAGGCAAUCACUCAUAGGGAUUGAGUCCAUUCAGCCAUGUUGGAGUGGGAAAUUCCAAUUAAGAAUUAUGUUACCUUUUGUGCAUAAAAUACAUUUUGGGGGGACACACAAAGGAGGAGUCUCAUGCAGAAGAUCCACCUUUGAAGAUAGUUCUCCUGCCUUCACCACCUGCUCUGUUUGCAGAAGAUGGACCUGAAAUAUUGUUGAGAGAAAAAGAGAGUCUCACCAUCCCCUAAUUGCCAAAGCCCCAAAGUAGUCUUGGAUCCCAUUUUAUUUACCCCCCAUAUUUGAUCUAUCAACGAGUACUGUUGGUUCUAUCUAAUAAGCAUCCCACAUCCAUCCACCGGUCACACCCUCGUUGCCACCAUCCUGCCUCAAACCAUCACGUUCUCUUUCCUGGACAACAGUCACUUCCUAACAGGGCAGGGUUGGGCUACCAUUUCCACGCUCACUCUCCUGCAAUCCAUCCUCCUGGCAGUAGCCAGAGGGAUUUUUCUAAAAUAUAAAUCAGAAUGUUACCUUCAAGCCCUCAAGUGAAAUGACCUAAAUGAUUAUCAAUAGGGAGCUGUUCAAUAAAUAACAGUUCAUACACCCAAGCAAUGAAAUACUCUGCAGAUGUAAAGCGAACGUUGAUGAGAACAUUCUCUUACCAGUACUGGUACAAACGUGCUCCAAGAGACACGAAGUGAAAAAAGCAAAGUGUGACUAUUAUGCUACCAUUUAUGAAAGAAAAGGGGCGGAAGAGUGUGUGUGCAUGUUUGAUUGUUCAUGUGUGACAUUUCUGCAAGAAAACAUAAGACACUUGUCCCUACAUGGCUUCCAGGGAGAGGAUGUGGGCAGGAGGGGUGGUAGGAUGGAAGGGAGAUUGUCUACUUCUUGGGACUUCUGAAUUUUGAACCCUAUGACUCUUGAACAGCCAUAUUAGCUGUUGUUAUUUAUUCAGUAAUCAAUAGAUUAAAUUACAAUUUUUACAUGAAUUAAAUAACUCUGUUAUCUCACUUAACAGAAAAUCUAGUCUCUUCACCUGCGAGGCCUCGUAACCCACCUGCCCCAUCUCUGCCUUCCCCUUCCAGCACUUUCUCACUAAGUUCCAGCCACACUGGCCUCCUCUCGAUCCUCAACAUGGCAAACUUAGUUCCUUCCGAGGGCUUUGGGCUCACUGACCCCAGUGGUACUCAUACUCUGUCCUUCCUAGAUGCCUCUAUACAUCUUCCCUGACCUCAGUUUAAAUUUCCUACUCCCACCCCCAUCACUGAAAAUCCAUGUUCUACUUUCUCCAUAGCAACUGAUCUAUCUGAAAUUAUUUUAUUUACUCACUUAUUGUACGUCUCCCCUACUAGGCUCAGAUGUCACCAUAAUCCUGACACCUCGAAUGGUGCCUGGCUCAUGCCAUACAAUAAAUAUUUGUUAAUGAA